UACGUAGGGGGCGAGCGUUGUCCGAAGUUACUGGGCGUAAAGCGCGCGUAGGCGGUCCUUUAAGUCUGAGGUGAAAGGUUCAGCGCUCAACGUGAACAGUGCCUUGGAGACUGGGGGGACUUGAGUGUGGGAGAGGGCAGUGGAAUUCCUGGUGUAGCGGUGAAAUGCGUAGAUAUCAGGAGGAACACCGAUGGCGAAGGCAGCUGCCCUGGCCU
rnacentral:rRNA from 1 species